CCCUCAUGUCUCCUCCAUCCUCAGUGCACACUCAGGGCUCCUCCAUCCUCAGUGCACACUCAGGCUUCUCCAUCCUCAGUGCCCACUCAGGUCUCCUGCAUCCUCAGUGCCCACUCAGGUCUCCUCCAUCCUCAGGCUCACACUCUGGUCUCCUCCAUCCUCAUGCGCACACUCAGGCCUCCUCCAUCCUCAGUGCACACUCUGGUCUCCUCCAUUCUCAGGUGCACACUCAGGCUUCUCCAUCCUCAGGCACAUACUCAGGCUUCUCCAUCCUCAGGCGCACACUCUGGUCUCCUCCAUCCUCAUGCGCACACUCAGGCCUCCUCCAUCCUCAGUGCACACUCUGGUCUCCUCCAUUCUCAGGGGCACACUCAGGUCUCCUGCAUCCACAGUGCACACUCAGGAUUCUCCAUUCUCAGGUGCACACUCGGGUCUCCUGCAUCCUCAGUGCACACUCAGGCUUCUCCAUUCUCAGGUGCACACUCAGGUCUCCUCCAUCCUCAGGUGCACACUCAGAUCUCCUCCAUCCUCAGGCGCACACUCUGGUCUCCUCCAUCCUCAGUGCACACUCUGGUCUCCUCCAUCCUCAGGUGCACACUCAGGUCUCCUCCAUCCUCAGGCACACACUCAGGUCUCCUCCACCCUCAGGUGCACACUCAGGUCUCCUCCAUCCUCAGGCACACACUCUGGUCUCCUCCAUCCUCAGGCGCACACUCUGGUCUCCUCCAUCCUCAGUGCACACUCUGGUCUCCUCCAUCCUCAGGUGCACACUCAGGUCUCCCCCAUCCUCAGUGCACACUCAGGUCUCCUCCAUCCUCAGUGCCCACUCAGGCUUCUCCAUCCUCAGGUGCACACUCAGGUCUCCUCCAUCCUCAGGCACACACUAGUGCCCACUCAGGCUUCUCCAUCACACUCAGGUCUCCUGCAUCCUC
rnacentral:lncRNA from 1 species